rnacentral:ncRNA from 2 species
GUGGUAUGUCCCAUCCAAGGCUAAAUAACGUGAGGAGACCGAUAGAUUACAAGUAGUGUGAACGAAAGAUGAAAAGAACUCUAAAACAGAGGGUGAAAAGUUCCUGAACUUGCUUAGGGUUAAGGCUAUUUAUAGUACCCGUCUUGAAACACGGAUUAGGGAGUUUAUCUGUAGUGCGAGUCUUUGCACGUUAACUGUAAAGGCGUAGAGAAAGCAACUGGCGUUUGCAUGGCUACUGAGCAUUACUGAUAGGACCCGAAAGGUGGUGAACUUUGCCUGCACAGGUUGAAGUCAGGGGAAACUCUGAUGGAGGACCGUACGGGUUAUUGAUGUGCAAAUCAUUUUUCUGAUGUAGGUAAAGGUGCGAAAGACUCAUCGAACCACCUAAUAGCUGGUUUCCUCCGAAGUUUCCCUCAGGAUAGCUGUAAUGCAUUUAGUUAAGGGGAGUAGAGAUAUGGGUAGAGGUGCAGGGAGCCUUCGGGUUCUCAACUUAUUUCCAAACUUCGAACCUCCUUGUUAGGCAUUUACCUAACUGGAAAUGCUUAAAUGAAUUAGCGUUACAAGUGGGCUCUGACCGGUAAGCGGUCAUGGCGAAAUGGGAUGAACCAUACGUCUGAAUAAGGUGCCGAAAUGUACUAUCACUGAUACCAUAAAGGGAGUCCAUGUAUUUAGACAGCAGGUCGGUGCCCCUAAAAGCAGGUAUCCGCUAAAGAGUGUGUUAAAACUCACCUGCCGAAUACUAGGGCCCCGAAAAUGAAUGGCGCAUAUAGUACUACCGAUCUCAGACAUCAGUUCUAUUGAACUGAGAGUAGGGGGGAUGUGGACAUUUUUGUGAAGGUGCAAUGUGAGUUGGACUGGAAGAAUGUCUAUUACAGAUCCUAAUUGAAGUAGCGAUUAUCCAGGCUUGUAUCCUGGGGGCUGAUGAGGAGUAGGGUUUCUGGACAACUUAAACAGAUCCAGAGUUAGUCGAUCCUAAUCUCAAUAAUGGGAGAAAGGGAGUACAGUUGAUAUUCUGUAACUGACAACAGUUCGCGG